ACUUUUAAAUUUGCUGAGACUUGUUUUAUGGCCUAGCAUAAGUGUUAUUCAGGAUGAAGUUAUACAAGGGCUUGAGAAUCUUGCAUUCCUCAAGAUGACAUCCAUUGCAACAGGUCAGAAUUCUUUAUGAGUGCUGCAUUAUGGCCCACUUCACGCUUAAGAACAAACAUGAGGAUUUCAGAGCUGAAUCAACGUUAGACUCUUAAAAAACAAUUGUAUCAUGUACGGGACAAAGACAAGACCAUCACGGAUAAAGACAGGAGCAGAUUUAGUAUAUGUGCUGCCACCAUAACGGAUAAAGACAAGAACAGAUUUUAGUAUAUGUGCUGCCAUUUGAGACCAGCCUGGCCAACAUUGUGAAACCCCGUCUCUACUG
rnacentral:lncRNA from 1 species